rnacentral:misc_RNA from 1 species
GAAAUGCGAUAGGUAAUGUGAAUUGCAGAAUUCAGUGAAUCAUCGAAUCUUUGAACGCACCUUGCGCUCCUUGGUAUUCCUUGGAGCAUGCCUGUUUGAGUAUCAUGAAAUCUUCAAAGUAAAUCUUUUGUUAACUCAAUUGGUUUCUACUUUGGUAUUGGAGGUCUUUGCAGCUUCACACCUGCUCCUCUUUGUUCAUUAGCUGGAUCUCAGUGUUAUGCUUGGUUCCACUCGGCGUGAUAAGUUAUCUAUCGCUGAGGACACUGUAAAAGGUGGCCAAGGUAAAUGCAGAUGAACCGCUUCUAAUAGUCCAUUGACUUGGACAAUACUUUUAUGAUCUGAUCUCAAAUCAGGUAGGACUACCCGCUGAACUUAAG